rnacentral:misc_RNA from 1 species
UUAAGUUCAGCGGGUAUCCCUACCUGAUCCGAGGUCAACCAUAAGAAAUUCGGGGUUUAAUGGCAGGCAUCUACCUAGACCCUAUAGCGAGGAGAAUUACUACGCUUAGAGCUCGAUAGCACCGCCACUGAUUUUAAGGGCUGCUAGCAGCAAGCCCCAACACCAAGCUAGGCUUGAGGGGUUAUAAUGACGCUCGAACA